UGCCUAGUGACAUUCAGCUCUAUCAUCAUAUCCUUGUUCAGCCCCAGAAGUUAUUAGGGAACUGUACUUGUUUUUGAUAAAGGUGAAACUCUUGUUAAAGAAUCCUCAUAUAAGCUAGGGCGUCCAUUAGGAUGGCUCGUGGAUUAAUGAGCAAACACCAUGAGGCUUGGAUACAACCGAUUUUUUUUCUUAUAUGCUGCCAUUGAUUCACCAAGCACAUUGAUGCAGCUUAAACUCUUUUAACUGCCAAUGAGAUUGCUGUCCUGCUGCAUUUCCUGGUCUCUUAUUUUUGGUGCCACGACCUAUAUUGGUUACUGGAUGGAGUAAAUUGAAUUGCUGAAGCACCAUCAAGAAUGAUACUCCGUUAGUGUGAAGAACUACAUGCGUACUGCCUUUGGCUUGGUCUUCGGUGACACAACAUAAUGCUAAACUAUGCUGAUCCUCAUAUCUUGAAAGCCAUAUUUGGAUCAGAACAUUAUGUCCCUGAAAAGGCAUUUGAUGCCUUACGUAGAAACCAAG
rnacentral:misc_RNA from 1 species